GAACAGAUGGCGUUAUAUCCGCAUGGCUUAAAAACCCAAGAUGUGAAAUUCAUCGAUUUAGGAAAUGUCGGUUCGAAUCCGGCUCUGUUCA
rnacentral:tRNA from 1 species